AAGGCCCUGCGGGUCGCAGACCUCUUUGGACGGGGAGCAGGGCGGCGGACGCGUCCGCCGCUUGAGAGUACCCGUAGAACAAGCAUCGGCUAACUCCGUGCCAGCAGCCGCGGUAAUACGGAGGAUGCGAGCGUUAUCCGGAUUUAUUGGGUUUAAAGGGUGCGCAGGCGGCCAUUCAAGCCGGCGGUCAAAUGUCGGGGCUCAACCCCGUGCCGCCGUCGGGACUGUAUGGCUAGAGUGGGCGAGAAGCGCGCGGAAUGCGUGGUGUACCGGUGAAAUGCAUAAAUAUCACGCACAACCCCGAUUGCGAAGGCAGCGCGCCGGCGCCCGAGUGACGCUCAGGCACGAAAGCGUGGGUAUCGAACAGGAUUAGAUACCCUGGUAGUCCACCCACUAAACGAUGGAUGCUAGGUGUCCGGGGGGAUGUGCCCUGGGUGCUCCCUCGAAAGCG
rnacentral:rRNA from 1 species